rnacentral:rRNA from 1 species
CACGUAGGGCGCAAGCGUUGUCCGGAAUUAUUGGGCGUAAAGAGCUCGUAGGCGGUCUGUUGCGUCCGCUGUGAAAACUCGGGGCUUAACCCCGAGCCUGCAGUGGAUACGGGCAGACUAGAGGUAGGUAGGGGAGAAUGGAAUUCCCGGUGUAGCGGUGAAAUGCGCAGAUAUCGGGAGGAACACCGGUGGCGAAGGCGGUUCACUGGGCCUUACCUGACGCUGAGGAGCGAAAGCGUGGGGAGCGAACAGG